UAUGGCCAUAUCACAUUGAAACAGUGGUUCUUGUAUGACCACCAAAGUUAAACAAUGUCACGCCUGUUUAGUACCUAGAUGAGUGACCACCUGAGAAUACCAGGUGCUGUAGG